rnacentral:lncRNA from 1 species
GCUAUAUAGUGCACUGUGUUUGACCAAGGUCCACAGUUAAUUGUAGUGCACAAUUUAGUGUUCUAAUCACACAGCGCUUCAGGAACCACUGUAGAACGAUCACACCCCGUGUGACAGGCAGACAGGUUAGGGUUAGGAGGUGUUACUAGACAGACAGACAGUCAGGUUAGGAGGUGUCACUAGACAGACAGACAGACAGAUAGACAGACAGACAGGUUAGAGUUAGGAGGUGUUACUAGACAGACAGACAGACAGGUUAGGGUUAGGAGGUGUUACUGUACAGACAGACAGGUUAGGGUUAGGAGGUGUUACUGUACAGACAGACAGACAGACAGGUUAGGGUUAGGAGGUGUUACUAGACAGACAGACAGACAGGUUAGAGUUAGGAGGUGUUACUGAACAGACAGACAGACAGACAGGUUAGGGUUAGGAGGUGUUACUAGACAGACAGACAGUCAGGUUAGGAGGUGUCACUAGACAGACAGACAGACAGACAGGUUAGGGUUAGGAGGUGUUACUAGACAGACAGACAGACAGACAGGUUAGGGUUAGGAGGUGUUACUAUACAGACAGACAGACAGGUUAGGGUUAGGAGGUGUUACUAGACAGACAGACAGACAGACAGGUUAGGAGGUGUUACUGGACAGACAGACAGACAGGUUAGGGUUAGGAGGUGUUACUAGACAGACAGACAGGUUAGGGUUAGGAGGUGUUACUAUACAGACAGACAGACAGGUUAGGGUUAGGAGAUGUUACUAGACAGACAGACAGACAGACAGACAGACAGACAGACAGACAGGUUAGGGUUAUGAGAUGUUACUGAAAAGACAGACAGACAGACAGGUUAGGAGGUGUUACUAUACAGACAGACAGACAGGUUAGAGUUAGGAGGUGUUACUAGACAGACAGACAGACAGACAGACAGGUUAGGGUUAGGAGGUGUUACUGUACAGACAGACAGACAGGUUAGGGUUAUGAGGUGUUACUGUACAGACAGACAGACAGACAGACAGACAGACAGGUUAGGGUUAGGAGGAAAAAAAUGCAUGGCUGCACGCUGAAACUAAUCGUCGGAUUACUGUCGAUUUCUAGAAAGUGUUUUACCUAAUUAUUUCGAUCAAUGGUGAGCUCACCCCGU